UAAUUUUCACUCACAGUUUACUUACUAAACUUAACUAAAAUUAAUAAAUCUCAUGAAUUACCUGUAAUUCGAAGAAACUCUUGUCUCAACAUUGUAAGGACUCCUAAAUGUUAAAAUUCCUUAAUACCUUUGGGAAACAGAGAUCGUCGCGCAGUGAAUAAGAUCUUACAAUUUACGAUUAAAAAUACGAUACGACAAUCAUCCGAGGUAUUGAUAAUCAAUUAAAAAAGGAGAAGCAGAAUAGAGCCGUUACUUUGGUGCUUGUGAUGAAAAUAUACCAUAGUCUAAUAGUAGCAGCAGUCAACAGAUCCUGUGAUUAAGUUUUAGUUUUUAAAGUAGUAUUUACACGAAAAAUAUACCUCGCAGGUACGAUUACUCUUUUAUAAGUUUCAAUAGAUAAAAUGCCAUUAUGUUCGGUUUGCAACAUUGAAGUGGAUUUUCGUCGUUGGAGUAACCAUUUGCGAACUAAUAAGCAAAAAAUUAUAGUACUAUUCACAUCAAUGAUAACGUCGCAAUAAUACAUUCCUGUUUGAAAGGACGUAUUACAAGUUACCGGAUAGCUACACCUAAAACGGAAAUAAAUAUUUACCCAGAAAGCUUUUUAAACAUUAUUAAUGAUCAAG